rnacentral:lncRNA from 1 species
UAAGAUUAAUUGUGAGUGUAUUCAAAGCGUAAUCAAGAAAGAUAUGAGAUUUUGUCAAAGAAAAAUAAAAUGUUAAAGAUAAGGUUUUUGGGGCAAAAAUGUACUUGCACACUUGAGUUAACGGAGUUAUGAUGGAAAACGUAACUUUCAUUUAGCUUCAAUAGUACAAAUGUUCAAGUGUCGAUUUUUGAAACUGAGGUGAUCAUGUGAGAAAACGUGUAAACCUCAAUGAAAUUUAUGGUAAUAGAUAUUAAGAAUCAUAAUAGAAGAAGGUAUGGGGAAUUAAAAUAAUGUGAUUUAUUCGGGACGGCCAAAACUCCAACAGCUAAGUGGUGGAAAUCUUUGAAUUGAUGAUGUCUGUGUUUUUGUGUUUGAUAGAAAGAAAGAAAGACUGCAC